CUUCCAUCACAGUUUUCCUCACCUGCACCAUCUCCAUACAUGAACGAACACAAGUCUACAUACACAUAAGUGCCACCACGUGGCUUUUUCUGCUAAAAACAGAAUAAAAGCAUGUGCUUCUAUAAGGUAUAUUUUUGGGAGCAAAUCGAUUUUUAGGAUUUCUUUCUUCCUUCUUCAGCUUCUGUUUCUGAUCCGACAAAAUUGAAGAGAAGUUUGACCUCCGAACGAAAUUAUAACUCCCCAGAUCGACCUACCAAAGUGAAAAUGCCGAUCAGUUACACUGAAAGUUCAUCUUCCCGAACUAGUGUUGACAAUUGAUGUGCUCGAGCUGAUGCCAAUUUGGAAUCUCGGUUCGUUGUUACUGUGGCUGUGUUCCCAUCCUUGAAGAAUCUACCACUGUAGCCACGCUAGGAAGAAAUUUUUUCACAUGCCCGAUGAUUUUGGGAGAGGAAAGUGAAGAACACAUAUGGAAAUGGUGGGAUGAAGCCAUUACAGAGCAACUAACAAUCGUAGGAAUAAGACUUAAAGAGCACAGCGAGAGGAUGCAAAGCUUUAACCGAAUUGAACUUCCAGAAGGAUAUAUUCCUCGUUUGGAGACUCGUUUAGCGACAAUGCUGAUGAUUAUGGAGGACAAUGGCAAUGACAUUUCAGAAAUGAAGCUACUCUUAUAAGAGAUUCAAGGCGAAGUAUCUCGGUUGAAGGACAUAUUUGCUAGCACUUUCAUAUCUCUUUAAGUAGAAGAGAUGAGCCUCUAAGUCUUUAUGAACCUAACUUAUUAUCUAACUAUGUAUUGGUGAAGAACCUUCCUGAUUUUCUCUUAUUAUGUAAGGAUCUUUCAGAUUUACUCUUACAAGAGAUGACCCUUUGUUUUUUAAAUCAUUCGU